UAAUACGGAGGAUCCAAGCGUUAUCCGGAUUUAUUGGGUUUAAAGGGUGCGUAGGCGGGACAGUAAGUCAGUGGUGAAAUCCUAUCGCUUAACGAUAGAAUUGCCAUUGAUACUGCUGACCUUGAGUACAAAUGAUGUGGGCGGAAUGUGCAGUGUAGCGGUGAAAUGCUUAGAUAUUGCACAGAACACCGAUAGCGAAGGCAGCUCACAAAAAUGUAACUGACGCUGAGGCACGAAAGUAUGGGGAUCAAACAGGAUUAGAUACCCUGGUAGUCCAUACAGUAAACGUUGAUAACUCGAUGUGUGCGAUAUACAGUACGCGUCCAAGGGAAACCGAUAAGUUAUCCACCUGGGGAGUACGACCGCAAGGUUG
rnacentral:rRNA from 1 species